GAUGAACGCUGGCGGCGUGCCUAAUACAUGCAAGUCGAACGCAUUGUGGUUGAAAUGAUAUGAAGAACUUGUUCAGAUUUGAUUUUCAACAUUGCAAUGAGUGGCGAACGGGUGAGUAACACGUGGGAAACCUACCUCUUAGCAGGGGAUAACAUUUGGAAACAAAUGCUAAUACCGUAUAGUAAUUAAAACCGCAUGGUUUUAGUUUAAAAGAUGGUCUUGCUAUCACUAAGAGAUGGUCCCGCGGUGUAUUAGUUAGUUGGUGAGGUAAUGGCUCACCAAGACAAUGAUACAUAGCCGAGUUGAGAGACUGACCGGCCACAAUGGGACGGAGACACGGCCCAUACUCCUACGGGAGGCAGCAGUAGGGAAUCUUCCACAAUGGACGAAAGUCUGAUGGAGCAACGCCGCGUGUGUGAUGAAGGUUUCGGCUCGUAAAACACUGUUGUAAGAGAAGAAUGACAUUGAGAGUAACUGUUCAAUGUGUGACGGUAUCUU
rnacentral:rRNA from 1 species